GGUGGCUCAGUGGUCGAGCGCUUGCCUUGCAUGCAUGAGACCCUGGGUUCAAUUCCUCAGCACCA
rnacentral:tRNA from 1 species